GUGGCUAUGGGGCAGUUAUAGGGCAGUUAUAGGGUAGUUAUAGGGCAGCUAUGGGGCGGCUAUGGGGCAGCUGUGGGGCAGUUAUAGGGUAGUUAUGGGGCGGCUAUGGGGCAGCUAUGGGGCGGCUAUGGGGCGGCUAUGGGGCGGCUAUGGGGCAGCCAUGGGGCAGCGAUGGUGCGGCUAUGGGGCAGGUAUGGGGCAGCUAUGGGGCAGUUAUAGGGUAGUUAUGGGGUAGUUAUGGGGCAGCUAUGGGGCAGCCAUGGGGCGGCCGUGGGGCGCUCACCGCACGCAGCGGCCGUGCAGGAGGAAGAAGCCGUCCCUGCAGCUCUGGCAGCGCCGCCCCACGGAGCCCCGCGCGCAGCCCACGCAAACGGCCUCCGCCUCCAACGGGCCGAAACGCAGCCAGCGCCGCGCCUGCGCGGCACAGCGUGGGGACAGCGGGGACACGUGGGGACACAGAGGGACACAGAGGGACCAUAGGAACCAUAGGGACACACAGAGACACACAGGGACACACAGGGACCAUAGGGACACAUACGGACACAUGGGGACACAGAGGGACCAUGGGGACACAUAGGGACACAUGGGGACACGUGGGGACACGUGGGGACCAGAGGGACCACAGGGACCAUAGGGACACAGAGGGACACGUGGGGACACAUGGGGACACAGAGGGACCAUAGGGACACAGAGGGACACGUGGGGACACAUGGGGACACAGAGGGACACAUGGGGACACAUAGGGACACAGAGGGACACA
rnacentral:lncRNA from 1 species